rnacentral:rRNA from 1 species
AUUGAACGCUGGCGGCAGGCCUAACACAUGCAAGUCGAGCGGAUGACGGGAGCUUGCUCCUUGAUUCAGCGGCGGACGGGUGAGUAAUGCCUAGGAAUCUGCCUGGUAGUGGGGGACAACGUUUCGCAAGGAACGCUAAUACCGCAUACGUCCUACGGGAGAAAGCAGGGGACCUUCGGGCCCUGCGCUAUCAGAUGAGCCUAGGUCGGGUUAGAUAGUUGGUGGGGUAAUGGCUCACCAAGGCGACGACCCGUAACUGGUCUGAGAGGAUGAUCAGUCACACUGGAACUGAGACACGGUCCAGACUCCUACGGGAGGCAGCAGUAGGGAAUAGUGGACAAUGGGCGAAAGCCUGAUCCAGCCAUGCCGCGUGUGGGAAGAAGGUCUUCGGAUUGUAAAGCACUUUAAGUUGGGAGGAAGGGCAGUAAGUUAAUACCUUGCUGUUUUGACGUUACCGACAGAAUAAGCACCGGCUAACUCUGUGCCAGCCGCCGCCGUAAGAC